rnacentral:rRNA from 1 species
UACAACUUUCAGCGGUGGAUGUCUAGCGUUCCCACAACGAUGAAAAACGCAGCGAAAUGCCAUACUUAAUGCGAAUUGCAAGACCUCGUGAAUCAUUAAGAUUUUGAACGCCCAUUGCGCUUUCGGGAUAUUCCUCGGUAGCAUGCUUGUCUGAGUGUCUGUG